GAUGAACGCUAGCGGCAGGCCUAAUACAUGCAAGUCGAGGGGUAUGGGUUGCUUGCAACCCAGAGACCGGCGCACGGGUGCGUAACGCGUAUGCAAUCUACCUUAAUCAGGGGGAUAGCCCGGAGAAAUCCGGAUUAGCACCGCAUAACAUUGAGUUGUGGCAUCACAGUUCAAUCAAAUAUUUAUAGGAUUAAGAUGAGCAUGCGUGACAUUAGUUAGUUGGUGAGGUAACGGCUCACCAAGACCACGAUGUCUAGGGGAUCUGAGAGGAUGACCCCCCACACUGGUACUGAGACACGGACCAGACUCCUACGGGAGGCAGCAGUAAGGAAUAUUGGUCAAUGGGCGCAAGCCUGAACCAGCCAUGCCGCGUGCAGGAAGACGGCCCUAUGGGUUGUAAACUGCUUUUGUACCGGAAUAAACCUUCUCUUGCGAGAGAAGCUGAACGUACGGUAAGAAUAAGGAUCGGCUAACUCCGUG
rnacentral:rRNA from 1 species